AUCAAAACUCUGCUUCAUGUUAGAAUCUAGAUUGCUAUUAGAGCUAGAUCUAUAUCCAGAAUUAAUAAUUUUACAAAACUGAAGCAUGAGCUUACCAUACUUUCAUGAGCUACUUUAAAAUGCACAAUGAUUUUACUUGUGACUUGUUGAUAAAAUAUUAAAUUGACAAGUCAUAGCUGUAUCAUUCAUGCAUGUGGAAGUCAUAAUAUCUGGAUCUAGUAGCAUGAAUAGAUUUACUGAAAAUUAACAAUAAAAAGAUUAUUAUCUGACAUUAUGUAAUGGUUCACAGAAAUAUGUGUUUAACCACAUCAAAGACGAUAAUUUUAAAUUAUUUCAACUUGGUGCCAGCUUGUGAUGAUGGUCUUAUAUUUUGCAGCUUUUUGACCCCUAACUAUCAGUGACUCCUAAUACAUUUAGGUUCCUUCUUUCUCUGAGCAUGGCUAAAAAAAAGAGAAAACAGUAUUGAUUCUGUAUGGGUCUCAAACUGGUACUGGGGAAGAGUUCUCCAAUAAAUUAGCAAAGGGCUUAUCUUGUUGAGGACGACUAUCUGCCAUGACCUUUGACUCUGAGGACUGCACUGACUAGGUAGGGUGCAUGGAGCUAUUUGGAGCAUGGGACAAUUUGGAAUUAUUAUCCUUCUUAUUUUGCAGGCUUGCAUGCAGUACCAAACAGGAAAAAUUUUUUUAAGAACUAUAAUAUUUCCUAAUGAUUGCAGUCUUUUGUAAAUGAUCCAAUACUUUUAUUGCCAUUUAAAUGCUUUCUGAGCCUUUUUAAAAUGAAUUUUUGGCAUUGAGUAGCAAAAAAUGUCACAAGAAAUUAUAUUGUGAUAAAAGUCUUGCAUACUGCUCCCAAACCACACAAAACUUACAAAUGGUCUUCUAACUAUUGCUAGUUGAGUUAUGAACUUGUUAGAAAACUGUAUAGUCACUCUGUUCAUCUUAAUUUGUGAUUACUACUAUCUAGCUGUUCCAAAAAGCCACACCAACAGAAAAAUUCAUAUUUUAAGUGACAAAAAUUCAAAAGCUUUGCAUGGAAGAAAU